rfam:Chloroherpeton thalassium ATCC 35110, complete genome.
AGAUUUCAUCCGGGGUGCUGCGCCCCUCUGGCGUGGCUGAGAUUAGACCCGUUUAACUUGAUGCAGGUAAUUCUGACGCAAGGAUGCGAUGAAAUGCCGUUUGU